rnacentral:rRNA from 1 species
UACAGAGGUCUCAAGCGUUGUUCGGAUUCAUUGGGCGUAAAGGGUGCGUAGGCGGCGCGGCAAGUCGGGCGUGAAAUCUCGGGGCUUAACUCCGAAACUGCAUUCGAUACUGCCGUGCUUGAGGACUGGAGAGGAGACUGGAAUUUACGGUGUAGCGGUGAAAUGCGUAGAUAUCGUAAGGAAGACCAGUGGCGAAGGCGGGUCUCUGGACAGUUCCUGACGCUGAGGCACGAAGGUCAGGGGAGCAAGCGGG